AACCGCGGUUAUACGAGAGGCCCAAGUUGAUAGGAAUCGGCGUAAAGGGUGGUUAAGGGUUAUUACAAAAUAAAGCCGAAGGUCCUCAAUGCUGUUAUACGCUCUCGAAGACUCGAAGCCCCACCACGAAAGUGGCUUUACCCCGCCCCGAACCCACGAAAGCCAGGGUA
rnacentral:rRNA from 1 species